UCGUGUCGUGAGAUGUUGGGUUAAGUCCCGCAACGAGCGCAACCCUCACCCCCUGUUGCCAUCAGGUGAUGCUGGGCACUCUAGGGGAACUGCCCCGGUCAACGGGGAGGAAGGCGGGGAUGACGUCAAGUCAUCAUGCCCCUUACGUCCUGGGCUACACACGUGCUACAAUGGCCGGUACAAAGGGAUGCAACGCCGCGAGGCAGAGCCAAACCCAAAAAGCCGGUCUAAGUUCAGAUUGGAGUCUGCAACUCGACUCCAUGAAGGAGGAAUCGCUAGUAAUCGC
rnacentral:rRNA from 1 species